AUUGAACGCUGGCGGCAUGCCUUACACAUGCAAGUCGAACGGCAGCGGACCUUCGGGUGCCGGCGAGUGGCGAACGGGUGAGUAAUGUAUCGGAACGUACCUUUCAGUGGGGGAUAACGUAGCGAAAGUUACGCUAAUACCGCAUAUUCUGUGAGCAGGAAAGCAGGGGAUCGCAAGACCUUGCGCUGAUUGAGCGGCCGAUAUCAGAUUAGCUAGUUGGUGAGGUAAAGGCUCACCAAGGCGACGAUCUGUAGCGGGUCUGAGAGGAUGAUCCGCCACACUGGAACUGAGACGCGGUCCAGACUCCGACGGGAGGCAGCAGUGGGGAAUUUUGGACAAUGGGCGCAAGCCUGAUCCAGCCAUGCCGCGUGAGUGAAGAAGGCCUUCGGGUUGUAAAGCUCUUUCGGCCGGGAAGAAAUCGUAUGGGUUAAUACCCUGUGCGGAUGACGGUACCGGCAUAAGAAGCACCGGCUAACUACGUGCCAGCAGCCGCCGUAAUAC
rnacentral:rRNA from 1 species